rnacentral:snoRNA from 1 species
UUGUCCGUCCCGGUCUCUGCCUGUCUGCUGUGGCCCACCAGGUUGCACCUGUGAGCACGAGCACUCUGGAAGCCUCACCCAAAGAAGUGAGCAGGNAGGGGACACCCUGACAUUU